GCGUUGUCACAGCUGCAUCAAACUCUUCAUUUCAUCAGCCAUGGACAAACGGUUGCUGCUGGUCAUGUUGUGUCUGCAGGUUUUCCUGCUCAUCACAACCUUCACCUCCACUGAUGCAGCCGCUCUGGAGAAGGAUGAUCGUCUGCAGCCCAUUGAUGAGAAAGGAACUGUAGAAGACGCUGGGAAGUCAAAAAUUAGGAUCCGGUUAGGCUGCUGGAGCGCACCAGGAGGAUGUGGAAUUUUGCCACGGCCACCUCCUCCAGAGACUAAUCCCAAAUCUGCGUGAUGGAAACAAACAUAUCUGAACCAAAACAACAAGAGUUCGAAACACGCUCUGCUCCGUGGGAAAGUCCAAAAGAACAAAUUGAUUCAUUUUUAAUUUUUAAGAAUACAAAAUAAAGGUUUUCAAAUCAGA